GACUAACGCUGGCGGCGCGCCUAACACAUGCAAGUCGCACGAGAAACUUACGUAGCAAUAACGGAGCAGUAAAGUAGGCGAACGGGUGAGUAAUGCAUGGGUGACCUGUCCUCAAGAUGGGAAUAACCUCGCGAAAGCGGAGCUAAUACCCGAUGCCACUUCCGGUCUCUCGGGAUCGGGAGUGAAAGAUAGCUGUUACAGGCUGUUACUUGAGGAAGGGCCCAUGCCCAUCAGCUAGUUGGUAGGGUAACGG
rnacentral:rRNA from 1 species